AUUGAACGCUGGCGGCAGGCCUAACACAUGCAAGUCGAACGAGUGGCGGACGGGUGAGUAAUGUCUGGGAAACUGCCUGAUGGAGGGGGAUACCUACUGGAAACGGUAGCUAAUCCCGCAUACCAUCAGAUGUGCCCAGAUGGGAUUAGCUUGUUGGUGGGGUAACGGCUAACCAAGGCGACGAUCCCUAGCUGGUCGGAGAGGAGGACCAGCCACACGGGAACUGGGACACGGUCCAGACUCCAACGGGAGGAAGCAGUGGGGAAUAUUGCACAAUGGGCGCAAGCCUAAUGCAGCCAGGCCGCGUGUAUGAAGAAGGCCUUCGGGUUGUAAAGUACUUUCAGCGGGGAGGCGUUACCCGCAGAAGAAGCACCGGCUAACUCCGUGCCAGCAGCCGCGGUAAUUC
rnacentral:rRNA from 1 species